CAGAGGGGGCAAGCGUUGUUCGGAAUUACUGGGCGUAAAGGGCGCGUAGGCGGCCUGCUAAGUCGAACGUGAAAUCCCUGGGCUCAACCCAGGAACUGCGUCCGAUACUGGUUGGCUUGAAUCCGGGAGAGGGAUGUGGAAUUCCAGGUGUAGCGGUGAAAUGCGUAGAUAUCUGGAGGAACACCGGUGGCGAAGGCGACAUCCUGGACCGGUAUUGACGCUGAGGCGCGAAAGCCAGGGGAGCAAACGGGAUUAGAUACCCCGGUAGUCCUGGCCCUAAACGAUGAAUGCUUGGUGUGGUGGGUAUCGAUCCCUACCGUGCCGAAGCUAACGCAUUAAGCAUUCCGCCUGGGGAUACGGUCGCAAGGCUG
rnacentral:rRNA from 1 species